rnacentral:rRNA from 1 species
UACGGGAGGCAGCAGGGGGGAAUUUUGGACAAUGGGGGCAAGCCUGAUCCAGCAAUACCGGGUGUGUGAAGAAGGCCUUCGGGUUGUAAAGCACUUUUAUAUGGGAAGAAGUGUAAUGUGUUUAUAGCGCGAAGCAUUGACGGUUCCAUAAGAAAAAACACCGGCUAAAUUCGUUCCCGCCGCCGCGGUAAUUAGGAGGGGGGGAGCGUUUAUUGGAAUUUCUGGGGGUAAAAGGGAGGUUGGGGGGUUUUUAAAUUAGAUGGGAAAAUCCCGGGGUUAACCUGGGAAAUUCCUUUGAAAAUUUUGAGUUUGGAGGAGGGAGGGGGUAGGGGAAUUUCCGGGGGUGGGGUGAAAAUUGUUGAAGUUUUGAGGAACCUCCGUGGGGAAGGGGGCCUCCCGGCCCUACAAUGACGGUGAGGUAGGAAAAGGGGGGGGGGCAACCGGGUUAGAUUCCCCGGUUGUCCCCCCCCUAAACGAUGAGGACUGGCUGUUGGUGCUAUAGACGCAUCGGUAGCGAAGCUAACGCGUUAAGUAUCCGC